AUUGAACGCUGGCGGCAGGCUUAACACAUGCAAGUCGAGCGGAGAUGAGGUGCUUGCACCUUAUCUUAGCGGCGGACGGGUGAGUAAUGCUUAGGAAUCUGCCUAUUAGUGGGGGACAACAUUCCGAAAGGAAUGCUAAUACCGCAUACGCCCUACGGGGGAAAGCAGGGGAUCUUCGGUCCUUGCGCUAAUAGAUGAGACUAAGGCGGAUUAGCUAGUUGGUGGGGUAAAGGCCUACCAAGGCGACGAUCUGUAGCGGGUCUGAGAGGGUGAUCCGCCACACUGGGACUGAGACACGGCCCAGACUCCUACGGGAGGCAGCAGUGGGGAAUAUUGGACAAUGGGCGGAAGCCUGAUCCAGCCAUGCCGCGUGUGUGAAGAAGGCCUUUUGGUUGUAAAGCACUUUAAGCGAGGAGGAGGCUACCUGGAUUAAUACUCUAGGAUAGUGGACGUUACUCGCAGAAUAAGCACCGGCUAACUCUGUGCCAGCCGCCGCCGUAACAC
rnacentral:rRNA from 1 species